GAAGAGUUUGAUCAUGGCUCAGAUUGAACGCUGGCGGCAGGCCUAACACAUGCAAGUCGAACGGUAACAGGAAGCAGCUUGCUGCUUUGCUGACGAGUGGCGGACGGGUGAGUAAUGUCUGGGAAACUGCCUGAUGGAGGGGGAUAACUACUGGAAACGGUGGCUAAUACCGCAUAACGUCGCAAGACCAAAGAGGGGGACCUUCGGGCCUCUUGCCAUCAGAUGUGCCCAGAUGGGAUUAGCUUGUUGGUGAGGUAACGGCUCACCAAGGCGACGAUCCCUAGCUGGUCUGAGAGGAUGACCAGCCACACUGGAACUGAGACACGGUCCAGACUCCUACGGGAGGCAGCAGUGGGGAAUAUUGCACAAUGGGCGCAAGCCUGAUGCAGCCAUGCCGCGUGUAUGAAGAAGGCCUUCGGGUUGUAAAGUACUUUCAGCGGGGAGGAAGGUGUUGUGGUUAAUAACCGCAGCAAUUGACGUUACCCGCAGAAGAAGCACCGGCUAACUCCGUGCCAGCAGCCGCGGUAAUACGGAGGGUGCAAGCGUUAAUCGGAAUUACUGGGCGUAAAGCGCACGCAGGCGGUCUG
rnacentral:rRNA from 1 species